rnacentral:rRNA from 1 species
GGGGACAACCCGCCGAAAGGCGGGCUAAACCCGCGUACAUGCCACCGGGGCAUCCCGGAGGCAGGAAAGGCUUCGGCCGGACAGGGAUGGGCAUGCGGCGCAUUAGGCAGUAGGCGGGGUAACGGCCCACCUAACCGACGAUGCGUAGGGGUUCUGAGAGGAAGGUCCCCCACACUGGUACUGAGACACGGACCAGACUCCUACGGGAGGCAGCAGUGAGGAAUAUUGGUCAAUGGUCGGGAGACUGAACCAGCCAAGCCGCGUGAGGGAUGAAGGUACAGAGUAUCGUAAACCUCUUUUGUCAGGGAACAAAGGCGGGGACGUGUCCCCGGAUGAGUGUACCUGAAGAAAAAGCAUCGGCUAACUCCGUGCCAGCAGCCGCGGUAAUACGGAGGAUGCGAGCGUUAUCCGGAUUUAUUGGGUUUAAAGGGUGCGCAGGCGGUCUGUUAAGUCAGCGGUCAAAGCCCGGGGCUCAACCCCGGCCCGCCGUUGAAACUGGCAGUCUCGAGUUGGAGAGAAGUAUGCGGAAUGCGCGGUGUAGCGGUGAAAUGCAUAGAUAUCGCGCAGAACUCCGAUUGCGAAGGCAGCAUGCCGGCUCCACACUGACGCUGAGGCACGAAAGCGUGGGUAUCGAACAGGAUUAAAUACCCUGGUAGUCCACGCAGUAAACGAUGAA